GUUUACUGUAUGCAAUUUUAGAAGAAACAAAUUGGAAAAAACGUCAAUUUCGCACCGAAAUACAAAAGUUUUCCAUACAAGGACUUGAUUCCGGUCGUUCAGUUUGUAUGGCAGCUACAGUAGCGAGCAAUACUGGACAAAUGUUCCUCAAAAUUCAACAAAAUCAAAAAAUUAGAACAACAGUCAUCUCAGUACAAAAAAAUAAUUUGUCGUCUUCGGGCAACUCUGGUGGUCGACCUAGGAUAUUGAAUAACAAGGAUGCGCGUCAUAUGUAACGGUGAUUUGUAAAAACCCUAAGGAGGCUAGUUGUGGAUAGCCAGAAGAGCAUUACACAAAAUGUGUCACUACGUGAAACAUCAUCUUAUGUUAUGCGUAGCAUAUGCGUAGAAUUUCCGACCUCCCUUUGACGAAAUGUUGAAUCGAUAAGUCCAAGAAGCUAAAUUGUGUGCUUCGUUGUUUUACAUCUCGUUAAUAAUUGAUACAUUAUCACUUGGUUACAAAAGAGUAGAAAGAGCUUGAGCACCUAAGAAUAAGCCUAACCUACCAUCUAAUAAGCAGGUUCAUUGAACAAAUGCGAGUUAAAACUAUAUUUAUUUAAUUUGUGAUUAACAAUUGCAAUUUAUACAUAUACAUGUGUAAAAGUACAUACAUAAUCUAAUUGUGAUUCACUUCUGUCAGA